rnacentral:miRNA from 1 species
CCGGAAGAGGAAAAUUAAGCAA